UACUCGCGCAUUACAGAGAGACUUUGUUUACAAUGGACACGUGCGUUUGUUUCUGUUUGUUCUCUGCCUUGUUUAGCCAUUGGUUGAUUUUCGAGGGCGUGUAAGGAUUGUUACCAGCUGUUAACACUCAAGGAUUGGUUUCAUUCAGGAUUGGUUUCCUUCAGAACUAUUGGAAGCCAUGUCUCAAGAUCUUUACAAGGGAACUGCUUGAUGCUGUAUUCUACUGAAGGUAAGGAUUACUCAAACUCAACACAGAACCCUUGGCAGUUACUUUCACACAGCACUCGAGAGCCUUCACUGGACACAGGCCAUCACGGGUUGGGCAUCUCAAACUGUGGGGGUCCAACAAACUGUAGAUAAACACAAAGAUCUUCAGGAACUCUUUAGUGGAGGGCGACUGGAGAGAUUUGACUGUGAUUGAAGCUGGGAAGCCAUUAUCUCCAAGGAACUGCAAAGAAACAGAGAAACAACCAGUGACUGUAGCAAAGCCACUUCCACCACUGGAGAAAAGCUCAGCAUAUGUCCUCAGAAAACACCUUGACUCCAGGAUAUGGGGACAACCUUGUGGAUUUGGAGGAGUAUGGUCCUGAAGAGAGAGACUAAAGACAUUCUG